CUCUGGCUGUUGUGUUGUGUUGUUAUUGUUGGUGUUGCCGUGUCACUGUUGCACUUGCAAAAUUUGCGGCCAGAACGUCCAUUGUUGUGGCAAACUGCAGCUGGCAAAGCAGCCGCAUACAAAAUCGAGCUGGCUAAUUUGAGCCAGCAUACAAAAAGUGCUACAUGAAAAUGAAAAAUGCUGUAUAUAAAAAAAACAGCGAAGUGCAACUCCCACACAAAGCUGAGAAAUACAAUUUUCCUGCGAUUGGCAAUAAGAAAAUGUGCUUGGGAAAUUACAUAGAAAGGUACGCAAACUUUUACACCACCUGUGCCGCCGCUUUGGCCCAUGGGGUUCAAUAAAAUGUGCACUUAGACGCCGCAGGAAUUGAAUGUGAAAGGCUUUCCCCGAGGGAGUCGACACCCUCCCACCCACACAUAAACCACAUGCUCGCUUGGCAAAUAGAAAGCAUGAUGCUCACUGAAAGAGAUCUUAUAAUAAUUCGCUGAUCGACUUAUCGCUCUUUAACGACCAUUAAUCAACGAUUCCUGCCUGGCGGAUAAGCUCGAGCGAUCCUAACGUGGGCGGCCUUUCACCCGGUGCCAGGAAAAUCCAGCUCAGAUUUCAACAGCAAUGCCAAACUGGAACCACUUCGAACCCAUUCACUUGGUAGAGAUUGGACCGAGCCGAACUGAGCCGAGCCGGGCUAUAAGUUUGUGGUCAUUUGUGGGUCAUGUGUAUAAACGGCAAACUGCACAAUCAGCAAAACAACAAGCUAAAAUUUUUUCCUGCGUUCUUUGUUUGCCCCAUAUGACAAUAGAAGGGCUGGUGGUGUGCUGGCCAAGUGCUGGAGUUGUUGACCCAGUUUUUUGGGGCACUGAACGAGCGAAUUCCGUACCUCGGCCAAGAAACACUAGCUCUUGGGCAUUUACGGUCAUACAAAUCGAAAGGAAUUUUGGGAACGGCAACCCAUAAAUCCAUUUUGAUUAAGAGACAACAAAAUGAUUUAUAGAACCCUAACUUUUUAAUUUGUACCAGAAGGUCUGACAUAUGUCAGUGGUAUCUAAGCUAUUUCGAACGUAUAAUUAUAGUGCUAUUAUCUAUUUUAGUAGUUACUUUUUAUUACACUACAACACACUUAAGGUAUUACACAUGGAAGUCAAUGUCAGAGAAACCAGCAACCGAUGCAACAAUGCAUAAGGGGCUUUUAUUUUAAAGACAAAGCGGCUUAGACUCCAUCAGUGUCAGCUGCAUUGCUUUUGGCCACCUACAAUGGCCAGAUUCCGUUUGCUGUUUAUGCACAGAAAAGCAGAAAAAGCGAAAAGCCUUUCAACAAAUCAUGCGUCAAAAAGUUGCAACUGUCAGCGACAAAGGGGCAAAAAAUGCAGGAAGACAGGCAGGCAGGCACAGUCCGUCCGGGCAGGCCAAAAAAAUACAAAAAAAAAAAAACGUAACUUGCAUAUGAAAAUGGCCCACAAAGGGGCCAAAAAGGGGGUGGUGGUGAAUGGCCGAGAGACAAAAACGAGGACAAGGCAUGACGACAAUAAAAAUGAAUGCGAAUUGUAAACUUUUCGCCAAGUGCUGGUCACAAAAGAUACUUUUUUUUUUUUGGUUUUGCCACCCAACCAACCUAUCAAGCAACCUACCAAGCAACAAAAGCCCACGCUGCAACUCGGGCUUGUUGUAUGUAUCUUGGCCAUAAAUUACCGGCCGGUCUGCCGGCCGGCAUAUAUAGCCAUGAGUACGAGUGCAGAGUACAGAGUGCCAGCCAUGGAGUACUACCAGUUUGUCUGCCACUCAAGCGCACAUACAGAUAGAUACAGAUAUGGUAGACUCACUCACUCACUCACUCGGCAGGGCAGCACACUUUUACUAUUGUAUCUAGUCGGAGCAGGCGCACAGCAAGUGCCAGGCGGUAGGUGGCUGGCUUUUAGCCAGGCCAAAACAGAGCCAGCAGUUCGCAACUGAGGUUCCGAGGUUGCAUCACAGUGAGCAGACAAGUUGCUGGUUGCUGCUUGCUGGCUGUUUGAGCUGCAUCAUCAUCGUCAUGUGCAUAAUUCGAUUUCUGGACCGGCCACUACAUAUCUCAGCCCCGACGCACAGCGACGACCGGCUGUAACAAAAACAAUUCAAUUUGCCAUUGUUAAAAGCCCGGGCGGAAAACCAAUUUGCGCUGCCUAAAAGCCAACCUAAUAGACCCUGAUGGCUCCGGAAUCCGGAAAAUGGAAUCCAGGGUCCAGAAUCCAGUGCAACUGCACUGAACCAUGACCUGUGUGGGGGUAUGGAAAUGUGCGCUUCGCUGCCCGCCAGCAAUUUUUUAAUGUGCCCCAGUAGUAUCUGCAAGUGUAAUCUGAAAAGCCAAAAGUAUCUGGCCCACUCACAACACAGCGCACACACUGCCAUAUAUCCAUACAUAUGUACAUAUAUCCACAUGGUCGUAUAGUCGCAGUUGGCAAGUGGUGUGUGCAUGUUGCAAAUGACUAGGCGCCCAGAAAACGCCGUACAAUCGCGACGAAACGGGUUCUAGAUACAUUUUUCGGCGCAGAUAUAUAUCUGAACGGACGCAUCUACCAGCCGCCGAAAGCAGCUGAGCUAGAACAGCCAGCAACACAGAAAACACCGACUGGAGGGACAGACAGACAGCGGCAAUUAUGUGCAGAGCUGGAACUGAAGACUCUGCGACUACGUUUAGUAUUUCACGCCGCACUGGAGAUUCAAAAUACACAGGGAAAAUCACUUUGCAAGUUAGCAAAAGAUUUGAAAAAUAAGAACAAACUACUUAACUUGGUAGUUAAUGAGUUCUAAAGUUGUAAAUUGUAUUUGUAAUCGGCUACAAAUGGCUGCCGAUGCCUUUGCCACUGCAACAGCAACAGAGGAGUCGAAAAAUAUACAAAUAUGUGUAAUCGUCGAACAAACAAGACACGAGCUUGCGAGCUUCUCCAGUGGCAUCCGCAGAAGGAAUCGGAAUCGGAAUCGGUAUUGGAAUCGCUGUAGUGUCUAGCUUCGUGUAUCUGGGCGCCUGUUCCAAUCUGUACAUCUUCAUUUUUCUAUCCAACCAUCCGCAAUUUGCAGACCCGUAGUGUGAGUGUUUGUGUGCGCCCCGGUGCAUUUGUCAUGCCAAUGCCAACAAGCCAGCAAACUGGCAAACCAGCAAACGGACGACUUUCUUUAUGGCCAACGGCAGACGAUGCAGCCACCGGAUAAAAAAAAUAAUAACAACAACAGUGCCAACUGCUAGUCAGCGGAAAAGCACUUAAGCAACCGCUCCUCGUUUCCCAAACAGCUGCUUGGGAAAUUUAGUAUCUGUUUUAGAUGCAAAUACAGCGCAUACUGCAAUAAGCGUAUCAAGCGCCAUUAAUCUCAGCUGCAUCUUAGCCGAAUCAUGGACCACAAUCACCGCACUUUAUAAGUGCGUUUUGCCCAAAUAACUUUUUAAACAGCUGCAAGCCGAAAUUCUCGACAGUCUCUUCAGUAUCUCGGUGGGUCAGACGCAAUGUUUGAUACAAAAGGCUUCACAAACAAUUAAGUGGAAAACAUUUAUUUAUUUAUAGGCAAACCGGUUUGCUCAAGCUCAGUCAGUAGUGGCUAGAAUAAAAGUGGUAAGCUGUGGACGCUGGGGAAUGCGAGAGACGAGCGUUGCGUUGAGUUGACUUGAGUUGGCUUAGUGUAACGAAAACGAAAUGAAAAACUCGGAAUAAAUCGAAUGAAAAAUUCCACAAGUGAGGUACAGUUCGUCUCGGGGCUAAAAGAUAACUGCAGUUAAAUUGGAAAUGCACUUCAUCGAAAUAGGUGGCAGAAACAAUUGAUUGUCUUGCUUAGAAUGGCUUUAUCUAAGUUGGCAUUAGUUGAUUAAAUUCUUUGGAAUAGCUGUUAAACUAAGUUUAUAUUCCUCGUGCUUUUCAUCUUAGUCCAUUUGCUUUUUUAAGUCAUGAUAGAGUUAUGUUGUGGUAGUUCAGCUAUCUUUAUAUAAGUACUUUUAAAAUAUAUCAGUUUUUUGACAAUAUUUCAGCUGGCUAAGCCAGCCAACAAACUAAAAGUAAUGUAUAGUUUAACAGUAUCUUUAGACAUACUGAUGACCGAAAAUGUUGCCAAAUCGUUGUUUCGCUAUGUACUUCUUUUUCAUUUUCUGGGGAUGGCCAGCAGGUGUUGAGCCAAGUUGUGCGGCAAGUAGUGAGUGAGUAGCAUUCACUUAGCCAAACUCACUAAAAGCCGACCGCCAUUUUAGAUUCUUGCUGACUGUUUUCGUAGCCGUUGUCGAGUUCGCUGUGUCAGGUACGCGCGAUUACUACCAAAUGAUGUCAUUGCCACUGCUCUGGCUUUUUUCUUUGUGUGUGUUCAAUCGCCAGACUGCCGGUUAAGUUUUCACAAGAGCCCCUCCACUCCCCCGCCAUCCGGCCACCAACAAUAAAAGGCACCUGCUCCGCUUCAGGUUUCGAAAGCCAGCCAAAGCCAACGAAAAGAAGGAGGUGUGGGUGGUAGGCGGGCGGGCGGGCGGUCUGCUAAGCAGGUUGAACCUCAGGCCCAUUGGGGCAAUGCCAGGCGAUAAGGUGAUUACUCGGUAUCUUAUCUUCGAGCGUGACUAAUUGGCCCAAAUGAAUGGGGCCAGCGGUUGCCGGUGACUGUGAAUGGGAGGGUGGGAUUUCGGGUGGCUAGUAUGCACUGAAGAAGCCAAUUUCUCGGCCGAGUCGUUUCCUUGGGGUAGGUUCCACACGCUACACGGUGGUAUCUCAGCGGGGUAGAGCCACAAAUCGAGCAGUUGCAUAAUGCAAAGUACCAAUUAUAGUGAGGAAGCUUAGAAGCAGCGAUGAGCGGAGUGAGCACCAUUAAAUGAUUGUGCAAAAUGCUAAAUGCAAAACAGCAUUUUCCCAUUCAAUUGCCAGCCAGCCAACUUCAUCCGAUGAAGGCAAACCGAAUGGUCGCAGAUUGAGGCAGAUUGUCGCCGAGUUAGCAACCAUUCAAUUGAGGAAGACAGUUUGCGAGUACACUACUAAAAUCAAAUAGAUUUAAUUGUUUGAAAAAGGAGAAAUAUCGUAUAGAAGUGACUCCUUCCUGAAUAGAUUCUCAGUUAGUUAUAGUUGGGAUUAAGAUGUGGGUAAUGUUUACGACACACUAGACAAGCUUUCCAAACUGCCCGGAACCUCUUUCAAUCGAGUUAUGGGCCAUUCAUCUCGAUUUAAUAUCCCUUUUUCGCCGUGUACCCUCCCCAAUCGUCGAUGCCAUGACAACGCGGAAAUUGUGUACCGCUCUCAACAAUCCAGAAAGGGUUGAGCAUAGCGAUUCCAUCAGCAGAAGCUAAACUGAAGCAACAAUCACAUCCGCUGCUGUCAUUUUGCUUGGCAUUCGAACUAGCUUGCCGCCAGAACAUCAUCAUUAUAUGGCAGACUAGACCAUUGUAGUUGCUGCCCAGAGCAACAUGUAGUUGCUGCCACAUGUUGCAAAAUGUGGCUGCCCCAAUGAAAGCUGGAAGAGCGCUCUGCAUUUGCAUUAGAAGUUCAUUAGUGAGUGCGGUUGAUGCAAAUGCUAGGGGGAAAUCAGUGGGAAAACUCCAAGAAGGCCUCUGCGAGCUGACCGCAAAUGAAUUGCAGUUGCAACUGCAGGCAGCGAGCUAUCUAUUUGCCUCCGCCCACAACUUGUUGCUAUGUCAACGAGCUAGCACUAAUGUUUAUGCCCCGACUGCUGCUGGCUUGUUUACUUGUUUAUUUACCAGCUGCAAUCGUGGCGGAAGACCGCUGGCAAAACCAAAUAAACAACAACGACAGAAUUAUUCACCGGUCAACGAAACAGAAGAAGAAGAUGACGAAUUAUUUGGAAAAGCGACCACACCCAAUUUAUGUGGCCAUUAUCGGGGGCACUUGGCCACUAAUUAGAAUGCAGCUCUUGGCGGAGAGCUUUGAUCGCCAGUUGCGUAAUUGCAGAUUCAAUUAUGCAGCUAUGCUCUCCAUUAUGAUGGCUGCUGCACUGCUGCCAAAGAAAAAGGCAGUGAGUGCUGCCCACUUGGCCAUUCAUUCCCCCCUUUUUUUCCCCCGCCCCAUUAAUUAAAGACUUCCGCUCUCGGGCGAGGGAAACUUCUUCUUUUCUCGUAAUUGUUGUCUUGGUAAAUGGUAAACGGCGAGAUGCUCCAGCAGAUAGCUGACCAAAGGAGAAUGGCCCUGACUGCUGGCUUUUCACGGGGAAAAUACAAAAAUAAAAGCUAUACAAGACGCUGUACAAGGAGGAAUAGGGGGGAAUGGCCCUGGGCGGGGUCAACGCACCCGGGGAUGCAAAUUACGUGCCCAGCCAUCAACCCCUUGAGCUUAGGACCAGGCCAUUCGGUGGGACAAGUUUGCCAACGUAAAGCCAUCGCCAUCGUCAUCGUCAUCGCCGCCAGACAAGGCCGUUGUUCAAAGUUGUUAAACAGAUAAAAGUGAGUGGUUUGAGCAGAUCAAACAAUCCUAUCGGAAUGUUCAACCUAUUGGUACAUUGGCAUUUAUGAGCAUAUUUCCAGGAGGCCGUCAUGUUGCUUGGAAAUUGAUCGGGAUUGUGGGCUUGUUUGCAUUGUAAUUUGAAUAUUUCAAAUAAAACAAAAGGUAAUACGUGAGACUUUUGAACACUGUAUGUAUCUCUAUACUUUAGCACAAACAAACACUGUAUCUAUUAAUAUUUCAUUUUCAUUUGCCGCCCACUAUCUUAUGUAGGUUUUCCUUUUUUGAAGCGAACCUGACUCCACGGCGUUUAUUCAAUUUCCCACGCACUUUGAACUAUGACAUUUACGGUUUUGCACCAAAAGUUGAGAUUCAUUGAAGUCAGUCAGUCAGCGCAGGUUGAUUUUCCCGGGACCACUUUUUCUGAUCCCAACUUCUCUCUUCUUUUUUCUUAGCCAAAUUUCUCCCAACUCAUACAGAUAAAAUCCUAAACAAUAAUAUACAAAAUAAUGUUUCUUUAUCUCUCGUUGAUUUCAUUUUUUAUGAUUGGUAAUUAUUUUGCAUACAAUGGAAUGUCUUGUUUUUUUCGAAUGACUAUUUUUCGACAUGAAUCAUUAAUUUUUCAAGACCUAAUAAACUUUUCUGUUAUUCAUUGCAUUGAAGUAAACAUUCGAUUUGUGGUCAAAUGUGCUCAUGUUUUUAGAACUGGUUAGCAAGAAAUCCAUGAAAGGAUUCUUCUUCAAAGUUUUUUUUAUAUUUGUUAAUGAAAUGAAUGCUUUUAACCCAAUGUCAGUGUCCUCGGUCGUUUUGUCCAGUUCAUUUUCAAGGAUUCCUUAGCUU
rnacentral:sRNA from 1 species